rnacentral:rRNA from 1 species
UGCCGGGGACUCAUGGGAGACUGCCGGGGUCACACCGGAGGAAGGUGGGGAUGACGUCAAGUCCUCAGGCCCCUUACGUCCAGGGCUGCACACGUGCUACAAUGGUCGGUACAAAGGGCUGCAAACCCGCGAGGGAGAGCGAAUCCCAUAAAGCCGAUCUCAGUUCGGAUCGCAGUCUGCAACUCGACUGCGUGAAGUUGGAGUCGCUAGUAAUCGCAGAUCAGCAUUGCUGCGGUGAAUACGUUCCCGGGCCUUGUACACACCGCCCGUCACACCACGAAAGUUGGUAACACCCGAAGCCAGUGGCCCAACCCUUGGGAGGGAGCUGUCGAAGGUGGGAUUAGCGAUUGGGGUGAAGUCGUAACAAGGUAGCCGUACCGGAAGGUGCGGCUGGAUCACCUCCUUUCUAAGGAGCA